AGCGUGGGUGAUGAAAACUUGACCUUAGGUGGGUCUUUUUUUUGAGCCGUUUUGGUUCAAAGCUUUGGGCUUACCAAUGUUAGGACUUGUCAUAGUUACACUGACACGCU
ensembl:snoRNA SNORD46 small nucleolar RNA SNORD46